UAGGCCUUAUUUUAAUAAAAAUACCUGAGUUGCAUUCAGGUGAUGUAGGAAAAGAUCCUAUAGGUCUUU
rnacentral:tRNA from 1 species